rnacentral:misc_RNA from 1 species
GCAAACUUGGUCAUUUAGAGGAAGUAAAAGUCGUAACAAGGUUUCCGUAGGUGAACCUGCGGAAGGAUCAUCACUAAAUCCAUUUCUAAACACCCUGUGAACUGUGCGCAAGGGAGGGUAUGGGUGUGCGCAGUAGCGUCUGCACUCUAGUUUCCCUGCGUGUGCUGUGUGAUUCCGGGCGUGUGAGGGGCGCGGGAAGUUUCCGCAGUGUCUCUCCGCGGCCGUUGUUACCACAACAAACUCCAAUUUUUACAAAUUCAAGCUGAUACAAAUUGUAUAUUAUAAUCUAAAACAACUUUCAACAAUGGAUCUCUUGGCUCUCGCAUCGAUGAAGAACGCAGC